AAAGGCUAAGCCAUGCAUGUCUAUGUUCAAAUAACCUAUAACGGUGAAACCGCGAACGGCUCAUUAUAACAGCUACAAUGUACUUGAUCUUGAUUGUCCUACGUGGAUAACUGUGGUAAUUCUAGAGCUAAUACAUGCACCAAAGCUCCGACUUUUGGACGAGCGCAUCUAUUAGAUUAAAACCAAUCGGGCUUCAACCCGUCAUUUGGUGACUCUGAAUAGCUAUGGCUGAUCGCAUGGUCUUGUACCGGCGACGUAUCUAUCAAGUGUCUGCCUUAUCAACUUUCGAUGGUAGUUUAUGUGCCUACCAUGGUUGUAACGGGUAACGGAGAAUAAGGGUUCGACUCCGGAGAGGGAGCC
rnacentral:rRNA from 1 species